rnacentral:lncRNA from 1 species
UAUAGAUAGACAUCACUUUGAUAGUUUACUGAAAGGAAUAGCGUUGCUUUUAAACGGUAAGUGCAUAAUAUCUAUAACAUCGCACGUCUGUGAUUCGAAAAUCGAUUAUGAUUCGGUGACGCGAUAAUCGAUUAAGUGAUCGAAUUAAUAAUAAUAAUUGUCUCGUUUCGUAGCAGUCGCGGCGUGCUUUGCGGGGAAAAUUCAGAUAACGGUUUGUGCCACACCCUGCACGUUUUGUUUAUUUACAAAGAAAAAAUUUGCUAAAUUUGCAAUUUUUGUUACAAAAUCGGAUAUAUGUUUUGGUAGAAGAAAUUUUUCUUGUUUUGUUUUUCGUAAUUUUGAAGGCGAAAAUGAUCAUAUAUCGGUAUAGACCGUGAUGUGUUGCGAACUAAACGGUAUUCAUCUUACAGUAAGCAUAAACACACACACAACCUGGUGUUUUAAACAAUUCACACGUCCCAAAAAAACAAUUUUAAACUAUUUUAUUUUAGUUUUAUGCCAGUUUUGGUCGAGAAAAAUUACAAACAAUGCGUAUUUGUUUCGAUCGCGUAUCAAAUUAACACGUGAAAAAAAAAAACAUCCACAAGUCUUGUAAUCUGGAGAGAAUCGCACGAGAUUACAAGACUUUUUAACGAGAAAAAUUUGAUUCUCGUUUAACGUGACGAACAGAUCGUGACAAUCGUCCAUCUGCCGUUAAAUUUUAAUACAUACUAAACACGUAGCGUGAGUUGACUAUCAGUCUUCCAUUUUUAAAUAUUUUGGGAAAAAAGAAAAAAAUUUUUUUUUUAAGUAAGACUUGACACAGUUUCACGUUCCGGUCAACAUUUGACUAAUAUGGAAGCGAACGAAAUAUAUCUAUAGUUAAAUUCGUUCGGUUUACCAUGUAUUCUUUUUUUUUAUUCAUUGAAGUUAACAAGAUUAUCGCACAAGUUGAUGAACUGUAUAGAACGUUCUGCACACUCAUCUUGGCGGUAUUUGUCUGACAGCAGAAUCUAAUAAUAGUAAAGUUGACUUUUAUACCUUCGUCAAAACAGUCUGAUUGGUGGUUUAAAUUUCUUAACUACUUGGUUAAAACUGUUACGCAAUUUGAAUCCGAUCGAUACGCCAUCCAUCGACGAAAUUUAAUACCCGUGCACGGCGAUGACGUAAUCGGUCUGUCGUGAAAUAAUCUUUUGCUGUAAUUUUUAAACUUUAAUUAUUAAAUUUUUUUUUUGGAUAAAUUAGUUUUGUACGUAGUUUGUCGUAUAAAAAAAAGUUUUCAAAAUUUUAGCAAUUUUAACUCCGUAUAUACGUAAUGAUGGCUUCUAUAAAUUUAAUCACGCGAUAUACGUUGAUGAUACGAGACUUCCUGAUAGACAUAAGAUACUGUGCGAUCGUAAUAAGUGGACUUCCCUCCAUAUAAACAGGGAAGAAGAAUAAGUGGGCUUGUUACGAUCAUACAGUUGUAAAAAUUGUAAUAACCGGUUUAUUUUUAUUAAAAUUCCCCGCCAAAAUUAUAUUUAUUCCAUAAUAGUAAUUGUUUAUUUGUAAACAGAACCGAUUAUAUCGGAAGAGGAAGUCAAACCUGCAGCAUUGUAAAACGGUAACUGCCGUUUCUACGAAUUUAAAACUGGUAGAUUAAUUUUUCAGAAUAGGCUGUAAAUAAACAGGAAUUCUCUGGAGGAAACCUGGGCCUAAUACGGAAUAGAUUGAGUUCUCAAAUAACUCUCUAAGAUUUGAAGUUUUGGCGAAUGAAGAAAAUUGUAAAGUCUAACUACAGUAUCUUCAACUUGAUCAUGUAUUCGCCUUGACCUUGCGCUAACUUCUGUGGUUGGCGUGUUGCAUCAAUCGGCGGUUAUUUUCAUCAGACUGAGAAAGAAGGGAAGGCCUACGCGUGUUAGUCAUCUACAACAGAAGAAUGGACCGUUAAUUUUAGAACCAAUUAGCAUCCCUGAUGAUUAUAAAACAAGGAAAGAGAUAAUUCCAAAAUCGAUCUUUCUGCUCUUAUUUAAUUCAUUAAACAUUAGUUCGAUCGUAUAACCUGUAAGUCGAUUCACUGAAGUAGUUUUUAGCGAAUUUUAAAUUACGUAAUUCCUACGCCACCUUUCGAUUCAAAUACAGAAUAUUAGCAGCAUGUUUUUUU